rnacentral:rRNA from 1 species
CAACCCGGCGCCCCGAGACGGGGCGAACCACGGUGAAAUGACGGAUCGUCGGCCCGCGCCGGCGACUCGCCGAAUGAGUUUCUGACCUAUCAACUCGAGACGGCGGGGUAGAGGCCCGCCGCGGUAACGACGGGUAACGGGGAAUCAGGGUUCGAUUCCGGAGAGGGGAGCCCGAGAAACGGCUACCACUUCCAAGGAAGGCAGCAGGCGCGCAACUUACCCUAAUCUCGAUUUCGAGGAGGUAGUGACAAGAAUACCGAUGCGGGACCCUACGGGUGCCGCGUUCGGAAUGAGUACGAUUCGAACCACCUAACGAGGAACGAUCGGAGGGCAAGUCUGGUGCCAGCAGCCGCGGUAAUUCCAGCUCCAAUAGCGUACGUUAAAGUUGCUGCAGUUAAAAAGCUCGUAGUUGAACGUUCGGGUUCCGCGGG